GCCUAUGGCCACGCCACCCUGAAAGCCCCCGAUCUUGUCUGAUCUCGGGAGCCAGGUCUGGUUAGUACCUCGAUGGGAGACCGCCUGGGAAUAAUAGGUGUCGUAGGCU
rnacentral:rRNA from 1 species